rnacentral:misc_RNA from 1 species
AACGCAAAUGGCGCUUCCUGGACACCCGGGGAGCAUGCCUGUUUGAGAACCGUAAGGAAACAUCGUCCUGGACUGGUUCCGGACGGAGUUGGAUGCACCGGUCGAAAGGCUCGUGGUCCGCAAGGCUUCUUCCAUACAUUGAUUCCACGAAUGAUCUCCCUAAACUUUGAGCUUUUUCGAAUGUUUAGGGAGGCUUUCGGGGUGGUGGGGUCCUGGGAUUAGGUCCGCUAGAAAGGUACCUUCCCGAAGGCUUUAGGAUAAUUGGUGCGGCUAACACUGCACUGUAUUACGAUAGCCGACUAUUAGGGAACGGUAGGAUCCUUUUGGGGAUCGUCUCAUCCCACCGAUCAUGGUCUCAAAUCAGGCAAGAGAACCCGCUGAACUUAA